GCGGGUGUAGCUCAGAUGGCCAGAGCGCUCGACUCUUAAUCGAGGCGUCGGGGGUUCGACUCCCUCCACCCGCA
rnacentral:tRNA from 1 species